rnacentral:rRNA from 1 species
CCUACGGGAGGCAGCAGUGGGGAAUAUUGGACAAUGGGGGGAACCCUGAUCCAGCCAUGCCGCGUGUGUGAAGAAGGCCCUCGGGUUGUAAAGCACUUUCAGUGAGGAAGAACGCCUGGUGGUUAAUACCCAUCAGGAAAGACAUCACUCACAGAAGAAGCACCGGCUAACUCCGUGCCAGCAGCCGCGGUAAUACGGAGGGUGCGAGCGUUAAUCGGAAUUACUGGGCGUAAAGCGCGCGUAGGUGGCUUGAUAAGUCGGUUGUGAAAGCCCCGGGCUCAACCUGGGAACGGCAUCCGGAACUGUCAAGCUAGAGUGCAGGAGAGGAAGGUAGAAUUCCCGGUGUAGCGGUGAAAUGCGUAGAGAUCGGGAGGAAUACCAGUGGCGAAGGCGGCCUUCUGGACUGACACUGACACUGAGGUGCGAAAGCGUGGGUAGCAAACAGGAUUAGAUACCCCAGUAGUC